UNUGCUGUGAAAGGCUGGGGCUUAACCCUGGUUUUGCAGUGGGUACGGGCUAACUAGAGUGCAGUAGGGGAGACUGGAAUUCCUGGUGUAGCGGUGGAAUGCGCAGAUAUCAGGAGGAACACCGAUGGCGAAGGCAGGUCUCUGGGCUGUAACUGACGCUGAGAAGCGAAAGCAUGGGGAGCGAACAGGAUUAGAUACCCUGGUAGUCCAUGCCGUAAACGUUGGGCACUAGGUGUGGGGGACAUUCCACGUUUUCCGCGCCGUAGCUAACGCAUUAAGUGCCCCGCCUGGGGAGUACGGCCGCAAGGCUAAAACUCAAAGAAAUUGACGGGGGCCCGCACAAGCGGCGGAGCAUGCGGAUUAAUUCGAUGCAACGCGAAGAACCUUACCAAGGCUUGACAUAUACUGGACUGCGUCAGAGAUGGCGUUUCCCUUCGGGGCUGGUAUACAGGUGGUGCAUGGUUGUCGUCAGCUCGUGUCGUGAGAUGUUGGGUUAAGUCCCGCAACGAGCGCAACCCUCGUUCUAUGUUGCCAGCACGUGAUGGUGGGGACUCAUAGGAGACUGCCGGGGUCAGCUCGGAGGAAGGUGGGGAUGACGUCAAAUCAUCAUGUCCCUUAUGUCUUGGGCUUCACGCAUGCUACAAUGGCCGGUACAGAGGGUUGCGAUACUGUGAGGUGGAGCUAAUCCCUAAAAGCCGGUCUCAGUUCGGAUUGGGGUCUGCAGCUCGACCCCAUGAAGUCGGAGUCGCUAGUAAUCGCAGAUCAGCAACGCUGCGGUGAAUACGUUCCCGGGCCUUGUACACACCGCCCGUCAAGUCACGAA
rnacentral:rRNA from 1 species